GUUUCGGGGCGGAGUGAAAGUCUCCACCGGCGGUGAAAGUCCGCGAACACGCCACGGCGUGCCGAACCGGUGAAAUUCCGGUACCGACGGUUAUAGUCCGGAUGAAAGAAA
rnacentral:ncRNA from 1 species